CUCGCACCGUAAGCUCGCAGUUUUCUCAAAAACUGCUAUUUUAUAUUCGCUAAUUUCACAACAAAUUUUUUCAUUGUUCAACGACACGAAUGGAUGAAGACACACGAUUGCAUAACUCAAAAUGACUAAUUUCUAUGAACCAGUCUCUACAUUGAACAAGAGACCGGUUUUCCUCGAAUUAUUUUGAAUUAUGUAAUUUUAAGCGUGUUGGACGUAAACAACAUAUCCUGCCUUCAACUUUGGGAAAGUACCGAUAUCGCUUUGUAAAAUCCUCAGUUCUGGCUGUAUCUCUAUAAUAUCACAGGGACGUCAAUGUUAAGUCGUUGGGCUAUAUCUCUGGGAUGAGAAAUAAUUCCUUACAUGCGAUCAAAAUGUUUUAUACAACGAUGUAAAACGAUAAUCUUAUGGAAUGGGUCAGCAUUUCCAUUUCCAACACAGUUUCUGAGAUGUAAUUCAAGAGGGGUAACUUAUCAUUGCAGUUGAACUAUUAUAUCAGUUGGUGUUAUUCUGUGCGAGCGAUAAGCGAUUAUUAUUGGAAAGAUGGCUGACAUAUACGUUGAAAUCACCAAAUAAACAGGUUACGCACACAUUUCUCCACUUUGUCGUAAGUUUACAGAGCCGGUUUUAUACCUUGGCACUGGUCUUUGACUUUGAUAUGAACAUUUAUUCCCCUAGUUUAAGGUUAUUUAAGAUUCAUCCUGUCGUAAGUCUUCUACUAGCAACCAAUCGACAAUAUUUCACUUUAGCAUUGUCUUUGCCGUUACGUUGGCUUCGCAUUACUUUUGUUUUAAAUACCUUGAUCGCUUUAAAAUAGUCAUUUUUCAGGCCAGUGAGAUAGCCAAAAUACUUAACAUUAACGUCCUUGUGAUUUUACAGAGAUAUCGCAAGAACUGAUGAUUUUAGAAGGCGUUAUCUGCACCUUCUCAAAGUUCUGGACAAAAUAUGUUGUUUGCGUGCAACACGCACAUGAUUGCAUAACUCAAACUAAUCCGGGCAAAACCGGUCUUUUGUUAAAAGGAAGAUCGGUUAAUAGAAAUUGGUCGUUUUGGGUGAUAUAAUCGUGUAGCGUCACAUCGAUCCGUUUGUUUGAACAAUGAAAAAAUUUGUUGUGAAAUUAGCGAAGAUAAAAUAGCAUUUUGUGAGAAAACUGCGGGUAUACGGCGCGGAAAGUUUUCGGAUUCGAAUUCAGCGUGCUUGAAUGUGUUAUUUUCCGUAAAAAUAUUUCAGUUCCAAGACAUGCUUAAUGAAAGUGAGCGAUAUCAGGACGCAGCAUACGGCCUACUCCUUUCCACGUGUUUAGCUUCUAAAUACAAUAGCUGCUAAUGAUAUUCUUUUACCAGAAUUCCGCCAAUAUGGCCGCCAUGACGUCAAAUCAAACGAGGUAUAAUCAUUAGGUAGAUUGAAGCAAACAAACCUGUAA